AGCGAACGCUGGCGGCAGGCCUAAUACAUGCAAGUCGAGCGCCCUUUCGGGGGAGCGGCGGACGGGUGAGUAACGCGUGGGAAUAUGCCCUUUGGUACGGAACAACUGAGGGAAACUUCAGCUAAUACCGUAUGUGCCCUUCGGGGGAAAGAUUUAUCGCCAUUGGAGUAGCCCGCGUUGGAUUAGCUAGUUGGUGGGGUAAAGGCCCACCAAGGCGACGAUCCAUAGCUGGUCUGAGAGGAUGAUCAGCCACACUGGGACUGAGACACGGCCCAGACUCCUACGGGAGGCAGCAGUAGGGAAUCUUGCGCAAUGGGCGAAAGCCUGACGCAGCCAUGCCGCGUGAAUGAUGAAGGUCUUAGGAUUGUAAAAUUCUUUCACCGGGGAAGAUAAUGACGGUACCCGGAGAAGAAGCCCCGGCUAACUUCGUGC
rnacentral:rRNA from 1 species